AUGUCUUUGUAUCCGUUGCUUAAUGGCAACAUCGACAGAAAGCACCGGGGCGCCCUAUUGGAAGCGGGCAACAACUUAGACGUGUUGGUCACUCGUACCCCAAAGACUAACUGGCUGAUACACGAUUCAUGGGUUGAUAGGUUAAGUUGGGCUGGACUUCUACCCUUGGCACGGCUGGUUCAGGGUACAUUGGAUGAGUGGAUUGAUGGUCCGGACUUAGAUGAGGCAGGUGAACCAGUGCAGUUACACAAGAGGCAAGUGAGACGUUUCUCUUACGACAAGUCACUCCUUACCUGCUUAGUAGAUAGAUGGAGGCCAGAGACACAUACGUUUCACUUCCCAUGGGGAGAGAUGGCGCCUACUUUACAGGAUGUGUCGUACUUGUUGGGAUUACCUCUGGCCGGUGCUGCCAUAGGUCCCUUAGAGGCAGAAUCAGGGUGGCAAACAGCGAUGCAGACCCGUUUUUUGGCUGCGGUCCCGACUGCUAGGGCCAUAGACAACGAUCCUCAUGGACCUCUUUUUAGAUGGUUGAGCCAGUUUCAGAUUGUCUCGUUAGGACAUCCCAAUGUUGAGUCCUUCACGGCGCAGUUUGAUAGUUUGCACGAGGAUCAAGUUAUCUGGGAGCCAUACUCGGCUGAGGCUAUAUCAUCGAGGUACCCAGUUGGGAUUUCUGGAUUGUGCACUAGAGAUCGGCAUUUUUGGAUGACCAAGGCCAAGUUGGUGUUCGAUGUGACGGUUGAGGAGAUGUCUCUUCAUAGAGUAAUGAGACAGAUCGGUCUAUAUCAAGAGCCUGAGAUUCCAAAAAUUCCACAGUUGCCAGAGCACGUGCACAAGGACAGUCGCCUAGGAGGAAACAAGUCCAUGGAUUACUGGCUUAAGAGCAUUACCCCUUACGUUGACGAAUGGACUACCGCUGCGACAAAUACCUGGGGUGAGGGUCGGGCAUUUAACUGGCAAAUGUUCGGGUUGUAUCUGCAGCGUUACCGGCAUACAACAAGGAUCUACUUGGUUCCAUCAGCUGCUCCUGAUCAGAUCGAAGCCCCUCUCACCAGCGAUAUGUACCCAACUGCCUCUGUUGUGGGAACCAGACACCACGCGGGUGACUUGACAGUACAGGCGCGAGAGGAGGUUUCCGCUUUAAUGCGGCGCUUUCAGAGGGGAGAAACUAUCCCACCGCGAGAGGGCGUCUCAUGGUUGAGGCGUCUUGAUGACAAGCUACGGGGGAUUUACGCUGCUGUUACGUGUAGACGGUCUUCGGAUGUUGCACUUCCUCCUUCAGCACAUCGUCCGCCACGUCCCUCUGUACAGCAUUCAGAACCACGACCCUCUGUGCAACGUUCACAACCACGACCUUCUGUGCACCGUGCAGAACCUCAUCCUUCACAGCCAGGGAGCUCUUCCAGGCAUGAGCCACCUCCUUCACAGCCAGGGAGCUCUUCCUGGCAUGAGCCACCUCCUUCACAGCCAGGGAGCUCUUCCUGGCAUGAGCCACCUCCUUCACAGCCAGGGAGCUCUUCCUGGAAUGAGCCACCUCCUUCACAGCCAGGGAGCUCUUCCUGGAAUGAGCCACCUCCUUCACAGCCAGGGAGCUCUUACUGGCAUCAGCCACCUCCUUCACAGCCAGGGAGCUCUUACUGGCAUCAGCAGAUGGAACUAGGCGGCAACCUGUCGCAACCGUUCAUGCAUUCAGAGCAGUCACCCAUCCUUAGUGGUGGUGCUGAUUACUUUGAGGGCGACCGCGAGGAUGAUGACCAUGCUACAAACAUUUAUGGCUUCUCGCAGACAGUGUUUCACACUCCACCACCACCACCGAUGCAGGAGACACAGACCGUGACAGACGAGGUUAACUAUGGUCGUGGUUAUCGCGAGCCUCGUCCACCGCCUCAGCGCUUAUCGCCUUCCGGUCCUCGCCCGAGGAAGACCCAGACUCGUCGCCGUCCCCCGCAGUGA
rnacentral:rRNA from 1 species